rnacentral:rRNA from 1 species
GACGAACGCUGGCGGCGUGCUUAACACAUGCAAGUCGAACGUGAUUUUUGUGGAAAUUCUUUCGGGAAUGGAAAUGAAAUGAAAGUGGCGAACGGGUGAGUAACACGUGAGCAACCUACCUUACACAGGGGGAUAGCCGUUGGAAACGACGAUUAAUACCGCAUGAGACCACAGAAUCGCAUGAUAUAGGGGUCAAAGAUUUAUCGGUGUAAGAAGGGCUCGCGUCUGAUUAGCUAGUUGGAAGGGUAAAGGCCUACCAAGGCGACGAUCAGUAGCCGGUCUGAGAGGAUGAACGGGCCACAUUGGAAACUGAGACACGGUUCCAAAACUCCUACGGGAGGCAGCAGUGGGGAAUAUUGCCACAAUGGGGGGAAACCCCUGAAUGCAAGCGAACCGCC